CUAGAAGCAAGGAGAUUGAAAAUUAUUCACAGGAAAAACAGUUUGUUUUAAGGCAAACAAAAUCAACAUUCAAUUAAAUAAAAAAGAGAGUUAAGGAAUUUACGUGCUUUUCCAUGCAUUGUAAGAUUUCCAGAAUAUAGAACAUGUAGUUCCUGAUAAAAAAAACACCAAAAGAUUGCUACGAUAAAACUGUUGAGUACCUAUUUGUAAUACAGAAUGCAUCAAUAUGGUGGUAUGCUACAUAUAUAAUAUUGAUACUAUGACAGAUGAGAAAAGAAACUGAAGACAUAACCAAAUGCUGAAGUCAGCAAAGAUUAAGAUAUAAAAAGCAGAUAUUUUCCUGAAGAUCUCAUUUAUGUCUCGAAUGUGAAGGGAACAGAAGCUAUCAUGAUGAUUCUUUAAAGAAAAGAUACGGAAACACAAGCUCCUGUAGACACUUAUGAAAAAGAAGAUGUUUUUGCAAUGAAUAUGUGUGAAUGUGAUAAAUUAUGGCAAAUCAACAUGGUCAAUUAACAACAAUAUGUUCUACACAUUUCCUAGAUUUAUAAGUUUCAUUACAUUUAGUUGAGGCAAACUAAAGUUAGAUAACGGAAA